UGAUCACGGUACUUAUUAGUUUCUUUGAUUGUCGUGCAUCUGAACUUUGUGUGACGUUCAUGUUUUGUUUGCAGCAACUCCCAGUUGCCGCCCGCACGUCGUCUCCCUGUCGCCACAUGUCCUGAGGUUGUACACAUAUAUUAGAUGAGAGCCGCUUGAUGACUCCGGUUAGCAGAUCUUUUGGGCACCAGUUUGGGCUUCAGAAGAGCAACUGUUUUUGGUACAAGCUAGGAGCGUGAGGGGAAACUCAGCCUGUUCUUGAUCAUCUCAUUUUGUGCAGGGACUAUCGUUUUGAUGGAACCAUCCGGGUCAAUGCGGGAUAGGAAACAUUUUACAGAUCUCACCAACACAACAAUCCAAGGUACGCAAACCCCACAUCAUGUAGAUCCUAAGGAACGUGAUAGAGAGCGCAAGAGAUUCCUGGUUGCAACAA